CCGUUUGGGGUUGGGGAGUGGCGGGGAGAGAGAGAAGACCGAACCGUUUUCUCCGCGGAGAGGUUUGGCCCUGGCUCUGCCUCUCUGUGAGACUUUAUAAAAUUUUAAGACUCUGGAUGAUGGUACUCUCCUCCAAAGAAGAAUUCACCUUCUGGCAGUGAGAUACACUUCAGGCAUAUCACCUUUAUCCAGAAACGCUAUGGGACAGAUUAGGUAAGAAGUGCUACCAGCGAAAGACCGGCCAGAAAUGAAGAUGAAGCAUCUCUGAAAUGGUCAUGGAGGUUGCUAGGAGUAUUGACUCGAUUUACAAAACUUCUGUUUACUCACGACUUUCCCGGUAGGAGAAAGGCAGGAUGCCUGUAGUGAUAGCCAACUGCAGCAUCCCUAGAGACGCAUGUCCACGGAGUCAUCCGGAAAAACACACUGGGGACAAGGGGCUUUUCAGAGGAGACAGUGCUGGAGCUUGGCGGUACCCACACUGGAUUGUCUGGUUUUCCUCCAGCAGCAUUUGGUCCCGAGGCUGCCCUGCGGCAGAGGAGUGGGGGCAGGGAGAGCCGAGACACCAAAGCUUGAAGGGCAGCUGAAUAGGAAGCAGCUUACAGCAUGUGGGCUCAAUUUUCCUCAAAAAGCUCAUAAUAUAACUGUCAAAAAUGGCACUAUGAACCCCAAUUGUAAGGUAAUUAUGUUCAGUCCCAAAUUCAACACAAUAAACGUUAUUUGCUCGCAAGCCCUAGCAACCAUCUCAUAAGGGGGAGAAAAAUACUGUACAAAAAACAAAAUGUAAACUCGCAAGGCAGUAAUAAAAACAGGCACACAACUAUUCAUUUCAAGUCUAUUUUGGAAAGCCUUUGAUAAUACCAGUAAUUCCCCAUAAAGCUCAUAUUCUCCUGCCACAGUUCCCUGCUGGAGAUAGAAAAAGGUUUUGCUGUUCUACAGUCACUCCAUUUCUUAAAAAAAAGUUAAAUCCCUAACCACCUAUAUCCAGCUAAGCCUACCACCUAGGCAGGGCUCAGGGGCAGUAUCCAUGUGACUACUUCUUGUUUUGCACAACAAAAUUCAUUCAGCGGUCUUAACAAGGUGCUUAAAUGGAGUCCAAGAGCCUUGUCCACAAGGUACUGAAACGUUCCCCAAAAGGUAGAAAAUUCAACCAACCGUCUGCCCAUUUCUAAAUAUCCUGAUGCUUCUGAGCACGCCGGCCAGGUGGUCUCCCUUUUACAUCCUGGCUGACACGAGGGAGGCUGAGCAACUCCUCCGGGCACCACUGGCAGGUGUACCUACAACAGAGGAAGGAGGGGGUAGGGGCUUGAGAUACACCUUUGGUUGCAAGAACAGAAACCUACUUAGACAAGUAAGAGGGCGAUGGUUAUAUCCUCUCAUGGACCCUGAGGAAAAGCUGAGCAAUCGGGCCUCGGGGAGAGCGGGAACCAGCAGCAAUUUUGGUGGGGGAGUGAAGUGGCAGGGAAAGGACAGGCAGGGCUGUGUGCAGGGACAGAGGCCCCUAGAAGGGACUGGGCAUGUGGGUAAUUAGUCCCUUUAAUACAGGAAGACAGAAAGGAAAAGAAAGAAGAACAGAAGGUGGGGGAUGAAGUAAAAUAAUAGGAACCAAAGUGAAAAGAAAGAUAAGCAUUAACUGAGUGAAAAAAAUGUCAUCAACAAAUGUUUCAGCCAGCAGUCAGCAGCUCCCUGGUGCUAAAGGUCAGCCUGUCCCCUUCAAUCAAUCAACUAAAGCUUAGACUCUGCCUACUGUCCGAGCCCCUUCGUGGAUAUGCAUGUACCCACAGCUUAAGAGUCCCCUAAUUUUGUUGUUUGGAGAGACACUUCUUUGGGAAACAACCCCAGUGUUCUUAUUUGCUGCAAGUAAUAAUAAACCCUUCAUUCUCCCAGGGCGGGGGUGGGGGGAUCAGCUGUCCCUAAUGUAGAACCAGCCUGUGUAGUACUGCAAAUACAAAGCCCUUCUAAUUUACCCACGUUGGUCAUUCUGAUUUACAUGAUUUAUAUUCUGAUUUUACGGACUAAUUGUAAAGAGAGAAAGUUGUAUUCAUUGAAAGGAUGUGUAUGAUCUUGAUGAAGUCCAUGUACUUUUCACGCUUCAGUUUUAAAAACUUGGCUUAUACAUACAAUAAGCAUAAUCCAAAAUUGUAUUGGGGGCACACUGAUGUUUCCUGCUACAACUGAUGUGAACAUCAGUUUACUUCACUAGGUUUAUCUUUACAUAUAUGGCAUCAAUUCUUUGUCCCAAGGUGUAUGCCCUAAACUUUAAUAAAUCGUUGUCUCAAUUCCACUUCAACUUUAUCAGAAACGUUUCCUGAACACCUAUGAUGUUAAAAGCAUUGUUUUAAGCACUUAUGUUGUCACAGAGUCGAAUAAAACAUAGCCCUGUC